CGCGGGGUGGAGCAGUUCGGUAGCUCGCUGGGCUCAUAACCCAGAGGUCGCAGGUUCAAAUCCUGUCCCCGCAACCG
rnacentral:tRNA from 1 species